CUACAGGCCUACAGAAAAUGAACCACUGUUGAGCUUGAUCAGUUACUGGACUGGGGAGGCUCAGACAAUUCAGGAUUGAUGGCCACAAGGAAGAAGCGAGAGUAGGGCAUCAUCUCUGCUCCUCAUGGAAACACAAGUGUGGACAUGCCUUACAUAAAACUUGCUGUUAACAGGGAAGUCAAAGGAUGUUUGGCUGGGCAAACAACUGCUCUACACGAUUUGCCUAAUUUUCUAGGUCAUUCUGUAUGAAGUGAGUCUUUCAAACCCAGCUUCUCUAACAACUUCACAGUUGUGUGCUCAGGAGGCUCCCGGGUAUGCCGUCUGUCUGCAGGCCAAGCAGCAUGAUGCUUUCGAGGAAAAGUGCCCUUCCUGUCUGGGAAAUUUUGAACGACAUGUAUUGUAACAUAGAAGACAGAGGAACUGGAGAUCUGCAAAAGUGUGAGGCAAUAGUUGAACAAGACAAAGAACAUGAUGCUGCAUCUUUGCAAUUGGUAUUAUUUCAUGAAUGUGACAUAGCGCAACUGUCAUGUAAAGUAGCUACAGAUAACCACAACAACACACCAGCUAUGUCCCUGGUCUUACGAGUUUCUUCAUCAAAUCAUCGUGUAAUGAGGCAGGAGAAGCUGUACCAUCUGCAGCUUUCAGAAGGAUGA
rnacentral:lncRNA from 1 species